GGUACAAGGAAUAGAUAUAUCAGAAGAAUUGGUUAGAAGCAGAAGAAAUAUUGCUCUUUAAUGUGCUUCAACAAUCAGAUAGCCUUCCUAUGAUAUGCAUUGUCACAUUAAAUCUCACGAUGGAAAUGAACAAAUGUUAUGCUGAACAAGUGAGAUAUCGAAAGAUUUUUCUGCAGAUGAAUUGGCAAGCCAUGAAGAUGUUGGAAAAAUAAUGAUCACCGCCCGAUUUUUUAAUUUUACUGACAAAACAAGGAAUUCAUGGAAUAUUACGCAUAGAGAAAUGUUACUGUGAAUGUACUAUAUUGAGGGACAUCCACGGACCUAUUCCAACGCAUGAUUUUUUCAAAGGGAGCGAUGAUUUAGGCCACGAUUCUUUAAACAAAAUAGGUAAAGUUUAUGCAGCAUGGGAAGG